AUUGAACGCUGGCGGCAGGCCUAACACAUGCAAGUCGAGCGAGCGGCGGAAGGGUGAGUAAGGUCAGGGAAACUGCCUGAUGGAGGGGGAUAACUACUGGAAACGGUAGCUAAUACCGCAUACCAUCAGAUGGGCCAAGAAGGGAUGAGCUAGUAGGUGGGGUAACGGCUCACCUAGGCGACGAUCCCUAGCUGGUCUGAGAGGCUGAACAGCCACACUGUAACGGCGACACGGUCCAGACUCCGACGGGAGGCAGCAGUGGGUAAUAUUGCACAAUGGGCGCAAUCCUGAUGCAGCCAUGCCGCGUGUGUGAAGAAGGCCUUCGGGUUGUAAAGCACUUUCAGCGGGGAGGCGUUACCCGCAGAAGAAGCACCGGCUAACUCCGUGCCAGCAGCCGCGGUAAUAC
rnacentral:rRNA from 1 species